AAGGAUUCAACAAAGGAAAGAAAAGCAUGAAUUGUACAAAGAAAAUAGAUGAGAAGAGAAUUCUUUCAAAAGAUGGGUGAAUCAAGGUAGUGAAAGUAUACACAUGUGUGAGUUGGAAAUUAAAGAAGUGUCCCAUGAAUUAAUAUUUAAUUAAAUAGUAUGUUAUGUAGAUGUUCAAGGAGGGAGUAGUCACUUUCAUCCCAAAUGCUUAUCCUACCCUUUCCCGAGCCUACAUUACUAGCCUAAAAAAGUUCUUCUAGAUAUCCAACCAAGUGUCUUUGAGUUAGUGGCGAUUGAAAAUAAGGGCAAGCAUAUGGCAUGAUACUUGUUUACAUUG
rnacentral:lncRNA from 1 species